GCAUGGAGAAUCUGUAAAGCUCAGGAGGGAUAGCGCCAUGGAUGACUCAAUUCGAUUUUUGUACACAUCUUUAGCGCUAUCCAUCCUGAGUUUCACGGCUUUUUCAUGC
rnacentral:pre_miRNA from 1 species